CGGACACUGAGUUUGGACGCGACCAAAGGAAAAGGAUGAACGCCAUAGAGACCGUGGGAGAGCGGGAGCUGGGCGCUCAUUCUCUUCCCCUGAAGUUAGAGGAUGCACUGGGUGCCUUUUAAAAGCUGCAUAUUGAGGUGCCGAGGGAAGGUGGACAAAAACACAGAUUUUCUGCGGAUGCAUCAGAUGAAGGGUCUUUAAGAGGUUCAAGGAUGGCUGAAGAUUGUACCUGGAGCUUUGUCCCUUAGCAGCCACCCGGCUGUCUUUGGGGCAGAGUGAGCUGCUGGGGUGCCUUCGGAGCUCUGCACCCCGCCACGGUGCUGAACCUGGAGCGCCCCCUCCGCCUCCUGGCCUGAGCAAAUGCCCGAUGCGCUCUCGCGUCGCGGGACAGGCUGUCAGCAGCGAGGCAGCAGAAAUACCUAAGGCAUAGUUCCCAGAAAGAACUACGGGCUGGCCACAGAGCUGAGACACUGCAAAGGGGCCAGAUCUGCACUCCACAACCCUGGCUUUCCAGUUCUUUCCAGCAGAGGAAACCCAUUGAUUUUUACAAUAUAUGAGGCUGAGCUUGGGAAAUGUUAUCAUUUGAAAUAUUGUGCCACCCACCAAAAUAAUCAUUAGUUCCCACAACUCCAGCUGAAGUCCUUUUCUCCAAAAAGUGGCUUCUGUGCAUGGCAGUUCCCAGCCACAGGUCAUAGGUCACUCCAGGUGAAUAGUUUCGUCUGAUUCAUCCCAGGCUGAGAAUUUAUCCUGUUUCUAAAGACAGUCAGAAAAGCAGAACAAUCCUCUUCCUCUUCACCCUCCCUCUCUGAAUGCAUAGCCAUGUCCUGGAUGAGAAAAAAUGUAAAGUUCCAUCCCACACCUGUGCCUAAGUCUGUUUGCCCCGUAUCCAUGCCAUGAUGGGGUCCAAAUGCUGGUUUUUUUCCCUAAAUCAUUGUGAAAAUCAGAAAAAUGACUACAUAUCACUCUAGCAAAUACUUCACAAUGUAAAAUACCUUGUUUGGGUCCCUACACUAUACUUUCUUCCACCUCUUCCCAUCCCCUCACUGCUAUAUAACCCAUGGGCAUUCUUGAACUCUUAAUGCACAUUAUAUAAAGCUCACCCAUAUCAAUUUGGUCACUUAACACUUACUCCAUCUCCUUCCUUAACUGAAAUCUGUCUCUAUUCUAAAGGACACUGCUUCCCCACCAGCCCUAGAUGCUGGAGACCACUCACCUCCAGGGGCAGAGGUGGAGUUGGCAUUACUGCUCUGCCUUUCUGUCACCAUGCCCUUGUUGUAACACUCAUGUCACCUUACUAUUCUACCUUCUUGUCCAUUCUCUGUAUGUUUAUGCCUGAGGUCCUGAUAACUUGUCUCAUUCAUUAAUGACAUCUGGCUCAUGUCUCCACUUGCCAUCUCAAGUCUUGCCAUAUUGUUCAUUGUUAAUGUAGAUGAUGCUCAACACCUCAACUCCAAAGACUUCCACUUCUAAUGCUUUUCAACCUUGAUCACCAAGACUACACCUGGAUCUUGUGGUUCUAUAAACAUGGCUCUGAUGUCUUCAGCUCCAAGUUUCUACUCUCUGAUCUAACUGGUUUUUCUAGGUGUUUCCUGAACUCAAGUCAUCAAUUAUCUGAAGCACCCCUUACCCAAUUCCUUUGCACCCCAGGCCUUUUGCAGACUGUCUGGGGCUACAGCCUUGGAUUCCUGCUACAUUAAACCUCAAAUCCCAACCCCAGAUAAUAAGCCCAUCUGGAACUGCAGCUUAAAGCCAUUUCAAAGCCACAGUCCUCAGCCUCAGUUACACCCUCAGUCUCAGCACCACAAAUUCCUGUCACAUAUCAUAAGCCAGUCUCAAAACAGUAUUUCAGACCAACCCUACUCUGCUCUUUACCUCUUUCAAGUGCUCCACUUUCCUUCCUUCCCUCCUUUUCAGUAGACAAAUGGGUCUCUUGCUACCUGGGAGAAAAUGACUUCAUUUGUCAUGACUUACAUUCCAUUCUCCUUGCCUUUAUAAAAUGUAGCUUCUCUCAUACCCAUCCUGCCCCACUGCCUCUGAUAUCACUCAGUGAUCAACAUCCUGUGGCCAACCUCUCUACCUGUGCCCUUGACCAUAUUCUUUUAUUCCAACUUCAGGGCCCUGAGCCAUCAACCAGCUUCAGUUUCUCUCUGUUACCUACAGGACAAAGGUCGUACUUGCUAAUAUAGCUCAUGCCACCCUCAUCUCUUUUUACCCUCAUCCACUCCUCUGUGCUCUAGAACUGCUCUGACCAAUAUGGUAUCCACUAGUCAUAUUUAAAUUUGUGGCCUAUUUAAAUUUAAGUGAAUUAAAAUUUAAUUUAAUUUAAAUUCAGCUACUCACUUACACCAGCCACUUUUCAAGUGCCCAAUAACCACAUGGGGCAAGUGGCUCCUGUACUGAGCAGCACAAACAUCAAACAUUUUCCGCAUUGAAGAAAGUUCUCUUGGCCAGCACUGCUCACCUUUACUGAAAAUCUUGCACAUCCUCAAAAGGGUCAAGGUUUUUCAUGUCUCCACCUUUGCACAGAGAGAUACAACAACCAUUUCCAUGUCACACCAUUCACACCAGCAUCUACACUCAUCAGUAUGAGGACAUCCACUUCCAGAAGCAACUGUUGGUGGUGCUGCAAGCAACCACUGAAGUUCUUCAUGCCAGUAUUUAUGUGGUGAUUAGUAUGUCUUUAAGACAAUAUGGAUUCUUCUCUUCAGGCAUAGUAAAGACAAGGAAGAUAUACUAAUGGGAAGAUGGGACAUUAUACUUCAAGAAGGGCUUUUAGAUUCCAUCCUGCCAGUCUUUCCAAAUCUCCAUUAAUCAAAACUUGAACUGCCAUUGUAGAUAGAGUAAUUAUCGUACAGCUUCUCCUUAGAAAGUCCUUUUUAAUGUUGUUAAAAGAAAACCUACCACAAACUAGUUAAUUAUCUUUGCUGAGGUUCUAUUUUUCGUGCAUCCAAAUGAUCAAUCAUCAUGCAACAGAGAGAACACCUAGAAAUUCAAUCACAACACUUAGGAAAAGUUCACAAGAGUUGCAGUGAGAAAUAGUAAAAAAGUGAGUAUUUCUCAACACUAUGUAUCCCCCAAAUCAGGCCUUUGCUGUAUGAAUGAUUUUAUUGAAAGUAAAUUAAAGUCACUGAUGAAAACCAGAAAUAGCACCAUUUAGAUAAUAAGCAUAGAACAAAUUCUAAAACCAGAUACCAAGUUUGUGGUAAUUACUUGUCAUUUUGAAUAUACUUCAUAAAUAUCAGGACAGGCAUGAGAGAUGAGCGACCAGCCCUGCCAUUCACAAGGCUGAGCAAUUAGCUUCAGCCCUUGGGCCUUAGCCUCGUAAAUGAAGUGACAGAAUCAGAGCAGAUUCUAAGUUCUCUUUUCACUCUAAAAGCAGUGGUAUUGCUGGGGUGUGGGUGAAGAGUAGAGCAUUAUUUAAUGUAAUCAAUAUUUUCUCAAUGUUACAUAAAGAGCAAUGUAAAUCCAGCUUCAGGUUCCUGUCCCUACAGGGUUGCCACCAAGUAAUUCUUUGUGCAUAGAAAUUCUGGAGUCUCCGACGUCUAAAAUGAGAGUGUACAAUGCAUCUAUAAGAGCAAUCUGUGGGGCUGGGACAUGAAGAGGUGUAGGAGGAGUAGACUACAAGAGCAUUCACAGGCGAGUGUAAGCUUAUAAGAUCAGUGAAUACUUCUUUCUGUCUUUAAAGAAGAUAUAUUGGUUUUGUCAACACAGUACUUCUCUCUCUUCAUCUUGGCUUAUUGUUUGUACACAGGCC